rnacentral:rRNA from 2 species
GACAAAUGCCCUGCUUCCAGGAAAAGCCUCUAAGCAUCAGGUAACAUCAAAUCGUACCCCAAACCGACACAGGUGGUCAGGUAGAGAAUACCAAGGCGCUUGAGAGAACUCGGGUGAAGGAACUAGGCAAAAUGGUGCCGUAACUUCGGGAGAAGGCACGCUGAUAUGUAGGUGAAGCGACUUGCUCGUGGAGCUGAAAUCAGUCGAAGAUACCAGCUGGCUGCAACUGUUUAUUAAAAACACAGCACUGUGCAAACACGAAAGUGGACGUAUACGGUGUGACGCCUGCCCGGUGCCGGAAGGUUAAUUGAUGGGGUUAGCGGUAACGCGAAGCUCUUGAUCGAAGCCCCGGUAAACGGCGGCCGUAACUAUAACGGUCCUAAGGUAGCGAAAUUCCUUGUCGGGUAAGUUCCGACCUGCACGAAUGGCGUAAUGAUGGCCAGGCUGUCUCCACCCGAGACUCAGUGAAAUUGAACUCGCUGUGAAGAUGCAGUGUACCCGCGGCAAGACGGAAAGACCCCGUGAACCUUUACUAUAGCUUGACACUGAACAUUGAGCCUUGAUGUGUAGGAUAGGUGGGAGGCUUUGAAGUGUGGACGCCAGUCUGCAUGGAGCCGACCUUGAAAUACCACCCUUUAAUGUUUGAUGUUCUAACGUUGGCCCGUAAUCCGGGUUGCGGACAGUGUCUGGUGGGUAGUUUGACUGGGGCGGUCUCCUCCUAAAGAGUAACGGAGGAGCACGAAGGUUGGCUAAUCCUGGUCGGACAUCAGGAGGUUAGUGCAAUGGCAUAAGCCAGCUUGACUGCGAGCGUGACGGCGCGAGCAGGUGCGAAAGCAGGUCAUAGUGAUCCGGUGGUUCUGAAUGGAAGGGCCAUCGCUCAACGGAUAAAAGGUACUCCGGGGAUAACAGGCUGAUACCGCCCAAGAGUUCAUAUCGACGGCGGUGUUUGGCACCUCGAUGUCGGCUCAUCACAUCCUGGGGCUGAAGUAGGUCCCAAGGGUAUGGCUGUUCGCCAUUUAAAGUGGUACGCGAGCUGGGUUUAGAACGUCGUGAGACAGUUCGGUCCCUAUCUGCCGUGGGCGCUGGAGAACUGAGGGGGGCUGCUCCUAGUACGAGAGGACCGGAGUGGACGCAUCACUGGUGUUCGGGUUGUCAUGCCAAUGGCACUGCCCGGUAGCUAAAUGCGGAAGAGAUAAGUGCUGAAAGCAUCUAAGCACGAAACUUGCCCCGAGAUGAGUUCUCCCUGACUCCUUGAGGGUCCUGAAGGAACGUUGAAGACGACGACGUUGAUAGGCCGGGUGUGUAAGCGCAGCGAUGCGUUGAGCUAACCGGUACUAAUGAACCGUGAGGCUUAACCUU